UAACAGUAUAUGAUUUAGAUGGUGCAGAGAGAAGACAUGAGGUUCUCCAUUGGUAAUAUGUCAAUAUGGCUUAUCAUUAGAUAUAAGGGUACAGAUUACCUGUGUUGGAGCUUUUGGUUAUGGGGCUUAUGAUGAUGCCAAACCAAAUGGUCAUCAAUAGCCUCUAGUGCGGAGAUAUGGUGUCUAUUUGCUAAGCUCAGGUCGUCAAUGGUCUCUCGAAUGAAGAUGUGGUGUCUACUUUGAUCCCUUGUGAAUCCUUUUCGUUGGGAAAGAUACCUCCAAAGCCCAGCUAAGGGUGCUGCUCAAGCUUACAGGCACUCAAUUAGAUGGCUACGACUCAUUAAACUCUUGUGUGCAAGUGUUUCAAGACUUCUGGCAACAGAGCUGCCCUAGCCACGUGGGAUGUCUCUUCACUUGAGAGAGAGCACCCACGAAUUGAAAUCUUUCACCCCAACGGGCACUCUUAUAAAUAAGAGGGAUUCUGAUUCAAUGAGGCUCCCCAUGAGGAAGGCACCCCACAUGCGUAGAGAAUGGAACAUCUACUUUGAAGGCUUUUGCAAGUGUGAUGAUGAUGCUACUGAGGUAUAUCAGCUUGUGAAGAGGCUCGGAAGCCUUGAAACACUUGCACACAGCAACACAGGUUCAAUGAGUAGUAGCCAUCUUAUUUAGUGCUUGUGAGCUUGAGCAGCACCCAUCACUGGGCCUCGAAGACCCUCUCCCAACAAGAAGGAUACAUAAGGGAUCAAAGCAGACACCACAUCUCCACACAGGAGGCCAUUGACUACCUGAGCUUGGCAAGGAAACACCACAUCUCCAUGGAGAUGCCAUUGACGACCUGAGCUUGGCUGCUCACCAACAUCAUCAGCAUGAAACACCCACAUAGAAUCACCCCCACCCCCAAUUUUCUUCAUGGUACCUAGAUUCAAAGGAUCCACUUUUUGUACUGCCAAAUGUCACUAAAUUAAAGUUUACAGUUCAAUUUCAUAU